AGGACCCCAGGAAGGGAUGAUGUUCUACUUAAGACUCAAGAAAAGGAUUCUGAGCCUCGGGCUUUGAAGGAGCCCUCUGGUCCCUGACCUUCCUCACCCAAG
ensembl:snoRNA small nucleolar RNA, C/D box 124